rnacentral:rRNA from 1 species
GACGAACGCUGGCGGCGUGCUUAACACAUGCCAGUCGAACGGAAAGGCCCUGCUUUUGUGGGGUGCUCGAGUGGCGAACGGGUGAGUAACACGUGAGUAACCUGCCCUUGACUUUGGGAUAACUUCAGGAAACUGGGGCUAAUACCGGAUAGGAGCUCCUGCUGCAUGGUGGGGGUUGGAAAGUUUCGGCGGUUGGGGAUGGACUCGCGGCUUAUCAGCUUGUUGGUGGGGUAGUGGCUUACCAAGGCUUUGACGGGUAGCCGGCCUGAGAGGGUGACCGGCCACAUGGGGACUGAGGGACGGCCCAGACGCGUACGGGAGGCAGCAGUGGGGAGUAUUGCACAAUGGGCGGAAGCCUGAUGCAGCAACGCCGCGUGCGGGAUGACGGCCUUCGGGUUGUAAACCGCUUUCGCCGGUGACGAAGCGUGAGUGACGGUAAUGGGUAAAGAAGCACCGGCUAACUACGUG